rnacentral:lncRNA from 1 species
ACAGCUGUUGUAGUUAUUGCAUUGUCCUGUCAUCAUAAAAAUUACGUUUGUUUCAGUUACAAAAGUCCCGUGAUGGCACGGACCUCCACAACCUGACCUCACUCACUUGUUUAGGAACUUACAAGCUUUUCGUCGACACUGUUGCAAUGGCAUGUAAUUAACUUGGCAUUUUUUCUCGUCCUGUCAUCAUAAAAUCCAGUUUGAUGGCGUUUUACACACAUUUUGGCUAUAGUCAGAACUAAAAUCUGUGAUAGGAGCAUGGAGUGAGUAUGUGCUCUAACGCAAGUCAAUGGCACUCAUCUUCCGUGGUCCGUACAUGGAUCGUUUCAGUGAUGGAGUACAGACCUCACUCAAUGGACGUGCUAUCUCAUCUGGAAACGCAACAUUUGAAGUAUUUAUUUUUUUCAACACCAAAUACCAUGACCAACCUGACUGUUAUUCUGAAAAGACGUAAAGUAAGCAGUCACCCCAGUGGUGUUUGUGGAGAGGUAUUCCUUCAGAAAUGGAGAAGACAGAAAGCUGCAGAGGCAGGAUUGUUUCCAGAUAACACUGUAGAUCUCCCUCAUGCACAAGGAUUCACCUCUUUAACUCCCCCCCCCCCCCCACACACACACACAGAGAAAUGGUUCCUGGAUCAGUGACUCAAGACUGUGCAGUGGUUUGAUUUCUGCAGAAAAUGUAACUUUGUUUUAAUUAACCUUAUAAUGAAUACAUUGUGACCUUCCAGCAACCCAUAUACUGUACUGUAUACAGAACCAGUGAUGACAACAAUAGUUAAAAAAUAGCAUUUAUCAUAUUGAUAAAGCAUUGUGUUCUCUUUGUCAAGCUUCAUACAGUAAACUUUACUUCUGGUGCUUUUAUCAUAAAAAAGCUUCAGUUCUCAUCAGGAGUUUUAGUAAAGGACAUAUUCAUGCACAACAAUCCCCUAGUUCCAGUCAUGAAGUGAAUGAUGUUAUUGUUAAAGUUAUAUUUCUGCAUUUUUAUGUAGCAGGUGUUUGUUUUCCUGAACACUUUAUCUUUCUUCCAUUGUUCGGACAAUCAGUGUUUACGUGAUGCUCUGCUGAUUGAGUUUUAUAGAUGAUAUUGCACACUUGACAUGCAUGUCUUCAUGAUGUUUUUUGUGAGUUUGAAACAUUUACAUUGUGUUGUAUCACUUUUUGGUCAAUAGAAUCUUUUAAGAAAAUGUAUAUUUUUACGGUGUUCUCUGAAAGAUAUAUACCAUAUUUAUAAUGUUUUGUUUUUUAAUAAAAGAAUUUGCACACUGAAAAUUGUUAACGUUUACAACAUAACUGCCUUUUUUUUCUUCAUAGUUUUAUUCUUCAAAAACGAGCUUGGUGACAGUGCAGUAAUAUGCACACUUUGUCUUUAAAUUAGUUUGACAUAUCAAUAAAUACUGGAAAACUCUUACAAAAUUAUGUAUGUUC